AACAAUUUCCUUAUAAAAAGGAAAUCUGGGGGCUGGGACUGUGGCUCAACGGUAAAGCGCUCGCCUAGCGCCGCCGAGACCCGGGUUCAAUCCUCAGCACCACAUAAAAAUAAAGGCAUUGUGUUGUGUCCAUCAACACCUAAAAGAAUAAAUAAAAGAGUUUAAAAAAAAAUAAAGGAAAUCUGGACACAGACAGAGGGAAAAAAAGCCAUGUGGGUAUGGGACAGAGAUUGAGUGAGGCUGUCACAGGCCAAGGAACAUCUGGGGCUACUAGAAGAUAGACAAGGCCAGGAAGGAGCCUUCUCCAGAAACUGUGGAAGGAGCAGGCUGCCUACUGUGCCAGGUUUUCUGUGAGAUGAAACCUUUGCUUUGUGUUAAAUCACAGGGAUUUAAGGAUGUAGUCGUUACUGCAGCAAUCCUAGCUUAUUCUGAUGAAUACAGUAUUAAGAAUAUUCAUAAGUAGGCUCAACCUGCCUUCCCAGCAUCCUCUCUUGGCUGUCUUAUUCUCCAGGCAUAUAGUUUAUUGCCUCUGGAAUUGUUGUGGGUUGAUCUUUCUGUCUAGAGUGUUCUUUCUUUUCUUUUCCUCCUUUUAAAAUCAGGGAAGAACAUAUCCUGCCAAAGUUCAGCUCAAAUACUACUCUUAAAAAGCCUUUGCCAAUGUCCUUUGUUUUUGUAGCAUUUCACCUGUGCUUCUACCGAUCCUACCACAUUAGGGUUUCUAAUGGGUACACGCCUUGUUGAAAAGGGUGCACACAGAGGCCAAAGAGAAUACCUUCAUGUGUAUAUAUCUCUAGUUCUUAGCAUAAUGGUUUUUAAAAGUUUUUAAAAAUUUGUUUAAAUAAGUUAUACAUGACAGUAGAAUGCAUUUAUGAACUUUGAUAUAUCAUAUAUAGAUGGGAUAUAAUUUCUUAUUUUUCUGAGUGUCCCUGUUGCAGAAUCAUAUUGGUUAUGUAGUCACAUAAUGUUUAAUCAUAGUAA
rnacentral:lncRNA from 1 species